rnacentral:lncRNA from 1 species
GGACCCCCUGUCAUCGAGUGGCCAGGCUUAGAUGAGGGGCAUGUGCGGGCAGGACAGAGCUUGGAGCUGCCAUGUGUGGCCCAAGGGGGGAAUCCCUUAGCCACACUGCAGUGGCUGAAGGUGAGGGCAGUCGCGGGCAUGGGAACUGUGGGGAGAGUGGAGGCCGGGAGCUGGUCCUGAGCUGGCCCAGGCCUGUCCCUGUCUCCAGAAUAGCCAGCCGGCGUCCACAGUGUGGGGCACAGAGCACACCCAGGCCGUGGCCCGCAGUGUGCUGGUGAUGACCGUGAGGCCAGAAGACCAUGGAGCGCGGCUCAGCUGCGAGGCCCAUAACAGCGUGUCUGCAGGGACCCAGGAGCGCAGCAUCAUGCUGCAGGUCACCUGUGAGUCCUGGUGCCAGCUGCCCACCUGUCGGUCUGUGCCUCAGAGAACCAUCUAUGUGUGCCCCCAAAUUAUGCCUACUGGAUGCCAAAGAUCUCAGCAUGUGUCUCCAGUCCUGUUGUUCUCUCUGGGCUGGUAUGUGAGAAAUUCAGCUCAGCUUAAUGUCUUCCCUCUCUGUCCCUGCAGUUCCCCCUAGUGCCAUUACUAUCCUGGGAUCUGCAUCCCAGGUUGAGAACAAGAACGUGACACUCUCCUGUGUCAGCAAGUCCAGUCGCCCACGGGUCCUGCUACGAUGGUGGCUGGGCUGGCGGCAACUACUGCCAUGGAGGAGAGCGAUCAUGGAUGUGAGGCGGGGGCCAGGCUCCUGGGUCUGAGCAUGGGGGGUGCAGGGCAUGACUCGUGGAUUGGGAAGGGGAUGGGUCCAGCAGCCUGGGGGCUUUCUCCUUGAGGACCAUGGGUCCAACAGAGGGGUGUUAGAGAUGGCUCAUGUGUCCCUGCUGGAGACUGAGAUGGACUCAGGCCUCUAACACAAUGGAUGGGGGUGCUGCAGUCCCCACAUCUGAAGCUCAUUCCCUGCCAGGGAUUACAUGGUGGUUACAUCUCCAUGUCCAACCUGACAUUCCUGGUGCGGCGGGAGGACAACAGUCUGACCCUCACAUGUGAGGCCUUCAGUGAAGCCUUCGCCAAGGAGACCUUCAAGAAGUUGCUCACCCUGAACGUAAAAUGUGAGUGUCUGCCCUUACCCAGCAAUGCCCCCAAGCCUCAGGACC